CUGCCUGGACUUAGCACAGGUUAAGGAACUGGACAAGACAGCUACAUUCACAUGAGUUUCUGCCAAUUGUUCAGUGCAUCCUGAUUAGGUUCUUACCUUCCAAGUUGAGAUGCAAAGAGAUGAACUGAGAAUAGGAGAACAGCACAGUGGGGUACACAUGAAGAGCUUAUUAGCGUUCCCCCUAGUAAUGGAGGGCCUCGAGUGAGCUCUGGAGUGGUGCAGGAGUGUUUCUCUUGUUCUGAUGUGUCAUCGAGGGCAGUCUGUCUGUUUAGAAGAUUAAAUGGACUAGAGGAACACAGAGCUUGGGGAGAAACCACUACAGGCUCAAAGAUGCAGAGACUGAACCUGUGGAGGUGAAAUCACUUGUUGCGCAUGUCACAACCAGUUAAAGUGUUGGCUUGGAGACAUAACCCCUGUGUGAACCCUCGUUGCCCUGCUCAGUUUCAGGCAGGAUCAGUUGGAGGACAGUGUGACCUGGAGGAAAGAAUGCCAGGCUUCUGAGUCUGCCAGGAGCCAGCAGUGGAAUGUCGGCAAGUCCCUUGCUGUGUUUCUGCUUCUGUUUUCUAAUCUGUUUCCUGGCUGAAUGUUGCUGUUGUGGAAGAAUGCAACUGAGUUUUAUAAGCAGAUCUUGUUCCUGACAUCCUUGCUGAACGAGAAAAUGACUGAUGACCACAGUGGAUUCAAAGAGCAUGGAAUAAAACCAUCGGCUUGGUGACCCAGUCUGAAAAGAAGAAAAAUGUAAGCCAGGUGAAAAUAGGCUUUUCUGCAGCCAGGCUGCAGAAAAGGUCCAAUAUCUGUACAUGCAAGAAUAAAGGGGAAAGGAAAAGGAAGAUGCCAAGACUUCAUCAACCUGGACAGACAGACAAAAUGGGCCUAUUUAUUGUGAGUUCCAAGGCAUGCUGGGUAGGGAUGCUUAAGAGCCUGUGGUUGCUUUGGGAUCGUGACAGGCCCCAUCGAAACAAAAGCUAUUUGACCUUGGGUGAGUCACAUAGUUUCUCUGAACAUUAAGAUUUUAUCUGUAAAAUGGGAGCGUAAGUUGAUGUGCAUAAAGCAUCUGGCAUGCAAUAAGGGAUCAGUACCUAAAAAGAGUUCAGCAUUGGAUUCCUGUUAUUUUCUUUGGGAAGCAUAAGCUUCAGCCAUGUUAUCACAUUUCCUGUCUUCUAAUCAGCCCUGACAGGCUCGUAAAAGAGAGACCUGGCUUAGGCACAGCAGCUCUAGGCUCCCAUUAGGAGUGGUGGAUCAUUUUCCUUCUGGCCAGGAUCCAGUUGGCCCCAGGUGGUAAACCUAAGAAUGACUUCAAUUUUUAAACAUCUUGUUGCCUUAAGGGGCAAAGGUAAAUAAGUCCCAAGAGCCUCAGUUUCCCAGAUUCCCAAGUGUUGCCUGCAUUACUGCAUCUAUGUUUCAUUCCGGGUAUAAAAUGCUAGAUUUCUGAAUGUGGAUUUUCCUUCCCAGGAAGCCUAAAGAUAAUAUAGAUAUCUAUUUAGUUGAGUGCCUUUUGCCAGGAGACAGGAGAAUGGAGAGAAUGAUCAUUGAAUCUUAUUUUUAAGCACAACAUAAUCCUUAGCAGUGGUUAAUUUGCUUAAUAAAUAAUUGUUGAAUAUUAUUACGUCCCAGGGAGAUACAAGUGCUCAGGUGAGACAAAGAAAAGUAAAACAUAGUCCUUGCCCUUGAAGAGUUUAUGGUCCAAAUGGGGCUAAAACUAGGACACAAAUUAUUACACUCAAGGCACAAUGCAAUAAGGACCACAGACCAGAUGGGAACAAAGCGAAUCAGGGGUUUUGAAGGAAAUUUCCUCUAGGAGAUUUUUAUUACAUCAGCAACACUCUAAUAAAAAUAAUACCCUAAUAAGUAGUGAUUUUCCUUUCUCUCUGUUCCCUUGUAUAUCCUUGUCCAUACAUUUAUGUGAUUUUUAUAGUGUAGUCACAAUAAACUUUGUGUCUCCUGAG